rnacentral:tRNA from 1 species
UCCCUGGUGGUCCAGUGGUUAGGAUUCUGCACUUUCACUGCCGAGGGCUUGGGUUUGAUCCCUGGUUGGGGAA